AACGGCGCCCCCCUGCACACGCCGAUACAGGUCAGCGGGAGAUUCUGGUGAAGCAGAAAAUAUGGAGGAGUUAUUCCAAAGACCGUCCGGCAUUAGAACCUCUGUUUGAAGAGCGCACACACACACACAGAGAGCGAGGAAGAGCCCCGUCCCACGAAGAUAAUCCCUGCCAUGCUCAAACUCGGCUGUGAGUGAUGUGACAGUGUGUGUGCUCCAAGAGCACAUUGUCUGCUCUAACUUUCCCUGUGCGUGAGGAUCUGCGAUCUCCAUGAAGUGCCUUCCUGCCUCUUCUUCCUCCUCUGGCUGUCUGGUGCGUCUUCUCGCUGUCAAGCAAUAUCUCCGGCCUGAUUUGUUCCUCUUCUCCCCAGCAGCUUAUUCGGAUAAGACUUAACGGCAAAUUAUAUUACAUGCGUGUGUGUAGCCCUGUCGGAAUUCGUUUUUUCCCCAGAAUGUGUCCUCCUGGUCAAGUGACCAGUUGAAUUUUAUUACGAGGAGAGUCUCUCGUGGGACUUUAAUAAAAGAAGCGGCUUUCAUAGUAUUUGAAAACUCCGGUUCCUUUGAAAAGGAUUUGGGGGGGUGCAUGUUUAUUUCAUCAAUACAAAUUGAAGGAAAAAGAAAAAACGUCUAUGGAAUACAAUGUGAAAUUCGUUGCGACAGCAGUGGAGCAAUUGGCUUGUCUUUCCUGAACUUUCCUGAAGUACAGUUUCUGCUUUGUUCUGUAAUGUAUUGAUCCAUUCAGAGCUCCCGCCCAAUGAGGUUGACUCAUGCUAGCUCUGUUUAAGCCUGUCUGCAACAUGGCUUUUUUUAUUUCUCCUUCCUGGCAGCCGGCAAAGCCUUCACAAGACUGUACAACCUUGGAGCUCAAUUUUUUUUCUACUCUUCACUCUGGAACACUGCCAAAGGCAAAAAUAAAAGGGAAAAAGACACACACACACACGCGCACACACACACAACUUCAGCAUAGUUUGAAGUUUUCACUGAAUUCCUCAACUGAAAAGCAAGUUCUAGUCAAAGUUGAUGUCCUGGUGAAAUGAUUACUCUCAUUGUAAGGUAUAUAACAUUGUGUAAAUUCUCUAUAUCUUGGCCUCUUUAAUACAAGAAAACCAGGAAAAAGUUAGCAUUAAGCAAUGUGGCUGGAACAGAGGCCUCUUUAUUUUCUGCAUGGAAAAUAACACUUUGCUGGACUUCAGCCCUGAUAACCCAGGGACGCUUACCUGGAAGUGGAACUCCAUCUGAUUCUCCAAGUCUGUGUCUAACUAGAAAUAGGGAGACUUUCAGAAAGCAAGGAGCUGACUUAAUUGACAGUAGAAAAACUGUUCCGAAUGCUGCACACACAUACAAAUAAAUAUAUACCGUGGGUCCCCGAAUUGGUAUUUUGAAGUCCAUAUGAUAAUAGUUUGGUAAUCACGAUGACCGCUGUGAUUUAUCCAUCCAGUCAGUUUUGUUUAAGGCUUUGUACGUAGAGGGUUGCGGUCAGGUGGUGCUUGUCCACCUGGGAGGCACAGGACACUACAGCCUGAACGAGACACUAGUCCCUCACAGGGCACAUGCACACAUAAUUUAGGUGCAGUUUAGGGCAGCUACAGUAGCUAACCUGGAGCAUGUCGCCUGGACCU